rnacentral:rRNA from 1 species
AUGGAGACGGAGCCACCCAAGAUGCUCGCCGUGAUGGCGACGAUGAUGAUGAUGGCCACCGCCGCUGCACUUGUACCGGAGGCGGCGGUGCUUGCAGGACAGGCGAGGGCGCUCCUCGUCUGGAAAGCCAGCCUCGACGACCAAAGCCAGCACACACUGCAGUCCUGGGAGAACAUCUCGGCGCCCUGCAGCUGGCGUGGCAUCACGUGCACAAGGCAACAGCGCCGGCCGGUGAUCAGCGGCAUCUCUCUGCGGGGGAUGCGGCUGAGAGGGGCGCUGGGGCCACUCGACUUCUCAGCCUUGGCGACCCUGACAAGCCUCGACCUCUCGCACAACCACCUCAGCGGGAGCAUCCCUGCCGGCAUUGAGGUCCUCGGAGAGCUCCGUGCUCUGCUUCUACAAAGCAACCAGAUAAGAGGCUCCAUUCCACUAGGCCUAGCAAAUCUCACAAAAUUACGCUCCUUAAUGCUUCAUGAAAAUGAAAUCUCCGGGGGAAUACCAAGGCACAUAGGCAACAUGAGUAAUCUUGUGACCCUCACCUUGUGGGUCAAUCACUUGGUUGGUCAAAUCCCCUUUGAAAUAGCCAACCUAAAGCACUUGGUUACAUUAGAUUUUUCUGAUAAUAAUCUUUCAGGCUCAAUCCCAAGCACUAUAGGUGACUUGACAAAACUCACUACCUUGUACCUUGACGGCAACCAACUCUUUGGACACAUCCCUCGAGAACUUGGUCAUUUGGUCAAUUUAAAGGACUUGGGCCUUAGCCGAAACACAUUCUCAGGUUCCAUUCCAAUAAAUUUGUUUAAUUCGACCAAGCUCACUAUCUUAUAUCUAUGGGGCAACAAGCUCUCUGGUCAAAUUCCACAAGAAUUUGGUCAGCUAGUUAACUUGGAGGAAUUAGAACUUAAUACAAACACACUCUCAGGUUCUAUCCCAAUCACUAUAGGGAAUUUGACCAAACUCACUAGAUUAUACCUUUUCCAGAACCAACUUUUGGGGCAAAUUCCACGAGUGCUAGGUUAUAUGAUGAACUUAAAAGAAUUGGCUCUAUAUGAAAAUACACUCUCAGGGAACAUUCCAAGAAAUUUAUGUAAUUUGACCAAGCUCACUGUCUUAAUUCUUUCACGCAAUAGACUUUCUGGUCAGAUUCCACAAGAAUUAGGUUACCUUGUGAACUUAAAUGACUUGGAUCUUACUUUUAAUACACUCUCAGGUCCUAUCCCAGUCACCAUAGGCAAUCUGACAAAACUCAAUAUAUUAAGCCUUUUCAUGAACCAACUUUCGGGGCAAAUUCCACGAGAAUUGGGUUACCUUGUGAACUUAGAGGAGUUGGAUCUUAAUAUUAACAAACUAUCAGGUUCCAUCCCAAACAGCUUACGAAGUUUGACAAAGCUCACCAAGUUAUGCCUUGCACAAAACCAACUCUCUGGAUCUAUUCCUCAAGGAAUUGGCAAGUUAACGAGCCUAGUUCAACUGCAACUCCCUUUUAACAACCUCUCUGGUUCCUUGCCAUCUGGUCUUUGUGCGGGAGGUCAGCUACAAAUUUUGAUCGUUAACGACAACAACUUGGUUGGACCCUUGCCAUCAAGCUUGCUAAGUUGUACAAGCUUAGUCAGGAUUCGACUUGAACGGAAUUACCUCGAAGGAGAUAUCACCGAGAUGGGAGCUCAUCCAAAUCUUGUCUAUAUUGAUAUAAGUUCAAAUAAACUAUUUGGUAAACUAUCUCAUCGUUGGGCUGAGUGCUACAAUCUUACAGCGCUACAUGCAUCAAAAAACAAUAUAACCGGAGUAAUACCAUCAAGUAUUGGGAAAUUAUCUUGUUUGGGGAUACUUGAUGUUUCAUCAAAUAAGCUUGAAGGACAAAUUCCUCCAGAAAUUGGCAAUAUAACGAUGUUGUUCAGUUUGAGCCUUUUUGGUAACUUGCUCCAGGGAAAUAUGCCCGCAGAAAUUGGAUCAUUGAAAAAUCUGGAAUAUCUAGAUUUAUCAUCAAACAACCUAACUGGGCAGAUACCAGGAUCAAUUCAGCAUUGUUUGAAGCUUCACUCACUAAAGUUGAGCCAUAAUCACUUCAAUGGUACAAUUCCUAAUGAACUAGGGAUGUUGGUAAACCUACAAGAUAUGUUGGAUCUAAGUGAAAAUUCAAUUGAUGGCGCUAUUCCUAGUCAACUAGGUGGUCUUACUAUGCUUGAAGCCUUGAAUCUUUCUCACAAUGCAUUGAACGGAAGCAUUCCACCAUCAUUUCAGAGCAUGAACAGCCUCCUAUACAUGGAUAUGUCAUAUAACAAAUUAGAAGGGUCAGUGCCACAUACUAGGCUCUUUGAAGAGGCUCCAAUCAAAUGGUUUAAGCAUAAUAAGAAAUUGUGUGGUGUUGUAACAGGUUUGCCCCCUUGUGAUCUUCCUCAAAGUAGUGAACAAGGGAAAAAGUCUGGUGCUAUUUUACUCUCUAUAAUAGCCGCUAUUGCAUCUUUAGUGUUUGUCAUUGCACAGGUAACAUGGCAGUGCAAAAAGAAGAAAACCAAGACAGCAGUUACAGAUGAACCACAACAAACCAAGAUGUUCACCAUUUGGAAUUUUGAUGGGGAGGAUGUGUACAAGAAAAUUGUUGAUGCCACAAACAAUUUCAGCAACUCUCAUUGCAUUGGAUCUGGAGGGAAUGGAUCAGUCUACAGAGUCCAGUUACCAACAGGUGAAUUGUUUGCAGUGAAAAAGAUCCAUAUGAUGGAAGAUAAUGAGCAAUUUAACCGUGAAAUACAUGCAUUGAUGUAUAUUCGACAUCGGAACAUUGCAAAGUUAUUUGGUUACUGCUCUGCAACCCAAGGAAGAUUUCUUGUGUAUGAAUACAUGGAUAGAGGAAGCUUAUCAGCAUCUUUGGAUGGUACAGAAACUGCAGUUGAAUUGGAUUGGCCGAGGAGGUUAAAUAUUGUUUGGGAUGUUGCUCAUGCUUUGUCUUACAUGCAUCAUGACUGCUUCGCACCGAUAGUCCACCGAGAUAUAACAAGCAACAACGUUUUGCUUGACCUGGAAUUUAGAGUCUGCAUCUCAGAUUUUGGUCUAGCGAAAAUACUAGAUGUGGAUGCAUCGAACUGCACUAGUCUCGCAGGGACAAAAGGAUAUCUUGCCCCAGAGCUUGCAUACACAACAAGGGUGACGGAGAAGUGCGAUGUCUAUAGCUUUGGGAUACUUGUUCUAGAGCUGUUCAUGGGACAUCAUCCAGGUGAUUUCCUUUCGUCCAUGGACAACAACAACAAAAGUACAUCAAUUGAGAAAUUGCUGGACACCCGGCUCCCACUCCCUGAACCUGAGGUCGCAACUAAGAUAUUUGAAGUGGUCGCCAUUGCUGUUCGGUGCAUAGAGCCUGAUCCAUCGCACCGUCCGACGAUGCAGCAAGUAACCAAUGUGUUGUCAGCAGCUGAGCGACCAGCUAAUAAUCUUGAUUAUCUCCACACUAGCAUCGUCAUCCCUGCCUGCUGCUCGUGA